rnacentral:pre_miRNA from 1 species
UUUUUAGCACAAGUAUGUACCAUGAACUAUUUGAGACAUACUUAUGCUAAAA